rnacentral:misc_RNA from 1 species
AGUUCACGCGACGUGCUUGAGAGUAGUGGGUGUUUGAAGCUUUUACGUCAGUUUAAUGUAAUUUUUCGAGUUGAUAAAUACGAAGUUUGUUAUGCCGAAAGUUCUAGAAAGACUAAUAAAGCUAACUGGACUAUAGACCACCUGGAAAAGGCUAUAAAGCUCAUUGAUGAACAAAAUUAUUUAAUAAGGAAAGCCAUGAAGACCAUGAACAUUCCAUUUGCCAGUCUUUACAAGAGGUACAGAAAAAAUACAAUUAAUGCCUUAAUUCCCUCGUCCUCGUCUCGGCCGUAAUACUGUCUUCACUCCUGAGAUGGAAACAGAAUUAGCAGAUAAUCAAGAAAAUGGCCAACGUAUUCUACGGGUGCACCCCAUACCAAAUAAAAAGAGCGGCAUUUGAAUACGCUGAAGCCCUAAUGCUAAAACACAAUUUUAAUAAGAGUUCAAGAUUGGCUGGUCGAGUUAGGUUUGAUGGCUUUAUAACCAGGAAUGUUACUAUUUAACCAGAACGAAAUAUUAAUAUUCCAAGUACAUCCACAUUUAGCUCUACUACUUCUGAACCAGCGAUUGCAUCGUUGUCUCUCUUUGAUACACCAUCAACAUCUAAUAAUGUGCCAAGUAUUCAAAAUUUCAUUCAGAUGCCUCAAAAAGUAACUGUUGUCAAGACAAAACAAGGAAGAAAAAAACAGCACGCAACGGUUUUAACAUCUACCCCAAUCAAAGACGCUCUAAUUGAAAAAGAAAUAAAAGGAAGACAAAAGCUAUGAAAAAAAAACAAAGGAAAAGGAGCAGGAAAGAAGAGCAAGCCACAGAAGGUUAAUCGUGAGAAGGUUAAGAAGAAAAUUCUGCAGGACUCCAAUGACACUUCAACGUCAGACGUGAACUCAGACGAAUUAUGCCAGGAUGACGAUAAUGACAAGAGAUGCAAGUAACUUGUGUCUAGUAUGUGGUGAAUUCGGACGAGACAAUGAAAAAUGGUACCGGUGCACUUCUUGUGGGCUCUGGGCUCAUGACGAAUGUACUGGAUGGGACUUUG